rnacentral:lncRNA from 1 species
CAGUGUAGCAGAGACAAGGGCCAGGUCCUCCCCUUGAGCCUCAGAGGGAACAUCACCCUGGCAAUACCCUGACUUUAGCCCAGUGAUACCGACUUCAGAAUUCCGGCCUCCAGUACUGUGAGAGAAUACAUUUCUGUUAUUCUUAAGCUACCAAGUUGGUGGUGAUUUUUAUAGCAGCCACACGAAACUGAUAUAAUACCCCUUUCCUGUCAUCCUUUCCCCCUCCCCUGCCCCUUUGGAGUGGAGCUCCCUGUUUGCAGGAAUAAUGGGGCUGCUGGUGGCAAUGGGAGAGUAAGACUCCCUGAGGCCAUAAAAAGGAAAGUUGGCUCUCUGGAACUUUACAAUCUAAGGUGCAACUUCGAGCUUAACUUCUUCUGUAGAGGCAAGUUUUAUAGGCAGCAUUUACCACUAUCUUGGAAAAACUUUUUUGUUCCGUAUUUAACCCAGUACCCUCCAAUCCUAGGCUCACUGUUUCUUUACGGGACAAAUAGAGUAACUCAGGCGCUUGACUUGCAUUAGUGCAGGGCUGGGUGCCCACUGGCAUUUUAGGACUGGUUCCUUAUCUCCUCCCGCUCUGACAGUCAGCCCAGAUGGCUCUGUUCAUCUUCUUUGCUAGUGUCUCCUUCUGCAGGCUGCUGUCAUCUCUUGUGCUUCUAGGUAAAAACACAAUCCUUCCUUUGUUUCCAUGGCAUUUGGGAGAGAAUGAGGUGAGGGUCCGUCCUUCUUGAUGGUGUUCCUGCCCACAGCUUGGACCUUGGGUUAGUGCUAGGGCUGCCAUGACGGAGCACCACAGACGGGGUGAUUCUGACAACAGAGAUUUACUUUCUCUUAAGUCUGGAAGCUAGAAGCCUGGGAUAAAGGUGUCAGCAGGGUUGGUUUCCUCAGAGGCAUCUCUCCUUGGCUUGUAAUUGGCAUCCUCUCCCUGGGUUUUCACAUCAUCUUCCCCCUUUAUCUAUGUCUUAUUUUCUUUUUCACCAGUCAUGUUGGAUUAGGGUUCCCCCUACUGACCUUGUUUUCACUCAGUUACCUCCCUAAAGACCGUAUCUCCAGAUACAGUCACAUUCUGGGGUACUGGGAAUUAGGGCUUAAACGUGUACUUUCGGGGAGACAUUAUUCAGUCCAUGACGUAGCUUAACUUCCUGUACUGAGGUAAUUCUUAUGGAUGGUUUAGCAUAGUUAGUGCUGGACACAGUAAACACUGCUGCUCAAUUAUAGCACAGUUACUUCUGUUCUCUUAUAUGCUACAAUCUGUCAUAUUUAUAUACACAUAAUGUUUCUGUUACACAUGUAUAAAUAUAAAUAUACACACAUUUCUAUGAUACCAUCGUUGGUAAAAUUUUCAUGAUUUCAUUUAAGUAAUAUUGCUGAGUGGGUUGUUUUGCAUUUCUCAGAAUCCUUGGGGAAAGUUAAAAGAUAGGGCCAACUUUUAAUUUUCAUUCAUUCAUUCAACAAACAUUUAUUGAGUGUGCCGUCUUGGCCUUUGGAUUAUAAUGUCAACGAAGAUUGUGAAGUUACAAUUCAGGUUCAAUUUCAUGGGAAGGCAAGUACAGUGGACCCGUGGAGGCUGUAGGAAGGAGCUGGUGAUGGAAGAAGUGUGUCCGCAAAUUCUUUGCCAUUGCUCCCACCCACUGAGAGUUGUCUUUGUCUACUUCCCUUGAAUCUGGCCUGCUUUUGAGAUUGUGUUGGCCAGCAGAAUAUGGAAAAAAUGAUGCUCCACCCAAGCUUUAAAGAAGUAGCCCCAUCCUCUCCAGGGAUGCCUGCUCUAGGGGAAGCUGGCUGCCAUGUGAUGUGUCGAUUGUCCUGAGACUGCCAUGCUGUGAGGAAGCCCAGGCCAGCUGGGUCGAGAGGCUGUGGGAACGAAAGAGGUCCAGUGAGCUCUAGUUAUUUAGGUAGUCCAACCGGAUGCCAACAGCUGAGUGAAGAAGCCAUCUCAGAUAGGUCAACCCCAGCUUGUAUAGUAUAGAGAAGAACCCAGGAAUUCCAUUGGAAUUCGGAACCCAAUCCUGAGACAUGUGGCCCCAGCCAAGCUGCCCUGGUCAUCUCCAGUUAGUCAGGCCAUCCUAUAGCCAUUACAGCUCCAGUGUGCACCAAGUCCUAACUUGUAAAAUGGUGAGUUUUAUAAAAAGGUGCCUAUUUUACUACUUAGAUUUGGGGUAGUGUGUUAUAUAGCAAUAGGUAAAUUGGAAUAGGACCCUAAACUAGAUUUGGAAGAUAAUUAAGAAAUCCUGUAUAUCACAAGUCCAGCAUUGUACUAUAAAGCACAGAACACAUGUAGACACAGAAUUCUUAGACAGUACACAUCUGCAGAAUCCAUUCUCUCCUGUGUGAAGGCUGGGGGUGAAUGCAUCUUCAGGCUGCAGGUCUUAGAGUCCUUACUCUGUUGAUGAACUCCAUGGAAAGUGCUGAUUUUGAUCCUUGUAUCAAAGUGCUACCUGUAUGGGGCUCACUGGUCUCCUGGGGGCUGGGACUGCAGUUUGCUACAGUGGCCCCUCCCGCGGCUCGACGGGUCAUUACCGCAGGAUGCUUAUUUGGCCUUUCCUUCACCUGUGGUUCCGUGCUGUGGAAUGCUACCCAAUUUUGCUACCUAAUCUGCUUUGCUAGAGGUCCUGCCCUUCUCUCUUCUUGCUAAUUAUUUUUUUCUAUCCAAAGUUAUUUUUUGCAUUAUUGGGUCCAAAGAUCCCUUGCUCUUUCAUGUUGCAGAAAAGCGGCAUGGUAGAGAGAGAUUCAGGGCAGGCCUGGAGUUAGGCUGCCUGAGUCUGAUUCUGCCUCUUACAGCAUGACCUUGAAGUUUCUGUGCUUCUGUUUCUUCAACUACAAAGGGAGGGAAAGGGUAGCCCUGCCUCACAGGGUUGGCAUGAGGGUAAAAGAGGUCAUUCAUGUAAAAUGCUCAGAGCUGUUCUGCAUGUAGCAGGCGUCCAAUAAAUGUCGGCCUAUUUUAUUCAUAAUAUGCAUUUUGUACUAUGGUACUCGGCUGCCUAUUUGUGGGUCUGCUCUCUAGGUGCUAAGUUCCUUGAGGACAGAGAGUGUCCUGAGCCCUGUCACUUCCGUGAUGUGCUGCACAAGGUGUGACAGGUGUUAGGCCUUCAGUAACUGCUUCUUGAAUGAGUGAAUGCCCCAGAAACAGUAGAGAGACAGUGUUCUAUCAGUGGAAGGUCAGUGAUAUCGUCAUUGGAGAAAGGUUCCAAAGGUGGACAGCAGUUUGAUUUUGUAGAACAUACUUGAUCUUACAGAAUCAAAGAGACAAAAAGUUCACUGGGCUGGUACGUGGGAAACAACUGUGCAUGUGUGAAUGGUUUGCACAUCUGGUUUCCUGUUAUUGCUGUGUGCUCACGGUACUUGAACUUGUGAAAUAGUAAACAGUCGGGUGCCUGAAGAAGUUGGGAUGUAGGGAUCUUGGCCCUGAAGCACUGUGAUUAUUCCUGGAGAGGCUGCAUAUAUGAAUGGAUAACUAUUUCUACAUGGGAUCCACCUUGUUUAAGAAAGAAUUUAAAGCGGCAUACAGAGAGCCCUGUAAUGAUUCAGUAAGAUAAAAUAAAGCGAGGUGAGGGGAUUGAGUCCUAAGAAAAAUGAAGGUUAAAAGCUAGAUGAAGCUGGGAGUAAUGUUUGUGUCCAAAAUGCUUGCUCGACUGUCCUGUACAUUUUCUAGAGGUGGGUACAGAUUUGGAGCUGCACUUUCUACCGGUUUUUAUGUGAAAACCAUAAAACAACCAAUUACAUGAGUCACGCUCUGGAAUAAUAACGCUAACAGCUAGCAUUUAUCAAGUACUUCCUUGGUACCAGCUGUGUCUCUUAGGUGCUUUGCAUGUAUUAACUCUUAAGAAAAAUUUUUUUUUAUUAAAGUACAGUUGAUUUACAAUGUUGUGUUGAUUUCUGCUGUACAGCAAAGUGAUUAAGGUAUCUAUCUAUAUCUAUCUACUUUCUUUUUCAAAAUAUUCUUUUCCCUUAUGGCUUAUCUUAGGACAAUGUAUAUGGUGCUCUGCGCUAUAGCACGGGACCUUGCUGUUUGUCUCCUCUGUGUAUAAUAGCUUCCAUCUGCCAAUUCCAACCUUCCAUCCAUUCCUCUCCCAACUCCUUCCCCUUGGCAGUCACAAGUCUGUCUGUCUUGUCCAUGAGUCUGUUUCUGUUUUGUAGAUGAGUUCAUUUGUGUUAUAUUUUAGAUUCCACAUAUAAGUGAUACAUACUAUUUUUCUUUCUCCUUCUGACUUAACUUCACUUAGCGCCUUCUCUAUGCCAGGUACUCAGGGCUGAAUUGUAGCAGCGAUCAGCGUCACGGAGAUGGUACUUACAGAGCUGGCAUAGCGACAACAGGCAUCUUUUUACAAUUUUAGUAUAGAUCAAGUUGCUUUUUGUAAAAAUUAUUUUAUUGAAGUAUAAUUGAUUUACAGUGUUGUGUUAAUUUCUGCCAUAUAGCAAAGUGAUCCAGUCAAUUGUCGGGGAACCUCAAGCCUUCUUUUCUGCAUCCGCUGCAGAGCCACCUCCAUCCUUGUCUUCUCAAACCUCUAGCCCCAGGGAACUCAGUAGAGUCACACCCAGCCCCACACACGGUACUUCACACAUGACAUCUCCCGUUCUUGAAGCAGGCGUAGAACAUUGUGAGCUUUAGACUCCAUUCAUCUCAGGAAAACUAUUUUCCAAGCCAAGAGGUCUCUGAGCAGUAAUACUUAGGCUUUUGGAGCUUAUUCUGCCUGUUUCUUAUAUGGGCACCUUGGAAAGCAGGAAUUUGGAGGUGGCCUUGGUGAAGACUAUGGAAAAAGCAGCCAUACACUCAUGCAACUCUUUUCUCUGUGCUCAGAGGAGAUGCAAAGGGGGACUGUGUGAACAUCGUAGGCGGUUUUGAGAGGCUCAGAAUUAGUCAAUUCCUAUCGUGGUAUUUUGCUUUUCAGCUCAACAGGAUGAUUUCUUGUUGAGGCUUUUUACUCUGGUGAGUUUACUUUGGAUUCAGAGUUUGCUUACAAGGGACCAGGGCAAUGGCUUGUCAAGUAAAGGAUUCCUCUGAAUCUUUAUCUUUGGUUUAAACUUCCCUUCGGAGCUCUGGACCUUUAGACCAGUCCGCCUACCAUAGAUCACGCCAACUAUCCCACAGCUAUUUCAAACUGCACUUGCCCAAAAUAGAAUUUAUUUUCUGGCCCCAGAAGUGAGUUCUUCUUUCUGUAGAUCCUGUCAGAAUCCAAGGCAUCACUCUCCAUGCCAUCAGCUCCUAGAGCAGAAGUAUAGCCAUCACCCUCCAAGCUUUCCUAAUAUUGACGGUAACAGAUAAAGUUUAUUGAUAGCUUCCUGUUGCCAGGGACUGUGCGAAGUGUUUUGUGUGCAUUAACUCCCUUAGUCAUCACUGCUGCCUAUGACUGAGAUGAUGUUGGUACCUCUGUUUCACCCAAGAGAUGACUGCAGAAGUGUCCUAAUGUGCCUCUCAGCUGCCAGUCCCUGUCCAGCCUCCUUACCCUUUGGCAGCCUGACUCAUCUUCUAAACAUGCAGAUCUGAAUGUGUGGUUUGCUUCCUGAACAAGCUUCACUGGCUCUCUGUUGCCCUCAGAAUCAGCUCAAACCCUUAGUCAGGAUCCCAGGGCCCUUCAUGUCCUGGCCACUGAGCACCCAGCUGUUUCUAGCUGCUCCUGCUGCCUUCUUCACCCAUGUACUAGCCAUGCUGGAGACUUGCAGACUCUUGAAAUAUGUAUGGUUUCCCUAGGCUCAUUUGAUUCAUGCUACAAAUACUUUUGGGGAGCCCUCCUUGUUCCAGGCCUCUUCUGGGUACCGGUGAUGGAGCUGUGAGCAAAACCGAUUGGACCCCUGCCCUCGUGGUUGGACAGUACUCAGGCACAUAGCUAAACAAGCGUGUAAUGUCAUAAUCCUGAGUGCUGUGUGGGCACAGUGAGUGAUAGCAGGGUUCUGUUUUAUGUAGGAUUGUCAGACAAGGCACUUUGCAAAGGCCCUGAGAGGGAGCCUGCCUGGUGUUUGAGGAGCAUCAAGGAGGUCAUUGUGGCUGAAAGGGUGAAUGUGGAAGGAAGGGAGAUCUCUGAUGCGGCCUGGAUCCCUCUUGUAGGUCCCUGGACCGUGGUGAGGACUUUGGAGUUUAUUCCAGUUGUGAGAGGCUGUUGGAAGUUUGAGGUCAGGGAGUGAUGGCAUCUGAUUGGCAUUUUAAGGGUCUCAGUGACAGUUGUGUGACUGCUGGACAGCCCAUCAUGAGGCCAGAGUGGAAGCAGGGAGAACGAGGAGGCUUUUUUUUUUUUUUUUUUCUUUUUUAAUGGGUCUCUAUACUUUUAUUUCAGUUUCCGUUUUAAAAAUAAUUCCAUGAAUUUUAUUAUGUGUGUAGUAGUACAGCCAUCAUCACAACAUAAUUUUAGAACAUUUCCAUUCCAAACCCUCAGUCCACCCCUCUCUCCCCCCAACCUGUCCUCUUUGGUAACCAUAAGUUUUUUCAGUCUGUGAGUCUGUUUCUAUUCUGCAAAUAAGUUCAUUUGUAUCUUUUUCUUUUAGAUCUCACAUAUAAGUGACAUCAUAAGAUAUGUUACAAUGGAAUAUUACUCACUCAUAAAAAGAAUGUAAUAAUGGCAUUUGCAGCAGCAUGGACGGACCUAGAAAUUAUCAUGCUAAGUGAUGUUAGACAGAGACAAAUAUCAUGUGGUAUCACUUAUAUGUAGGAGGUUCUUGUGUUAUCUCGUUCCUGUUCAGGAAUAUUCAGUCCUCGACCCUUUGUUGGUGACAGAGUGUCUGGAGACAAACUAUCCAGCUUUGUACACCUGUUUCAAGGGCAUCCCUAU